CCUUUUUUCCCCAGCUUUAGAUACUGAGCAUGGUGCCAUAUGGUAUUGGACAUCCCUUUGGUCAGCUGGGGCCAGCUGUCCUGACUGUCCCCUUCCGGCUCCUUGUGCCCCGCCAGCCCCUCACUGGCAGGACUUUUAGUCUUUUGCACAGACUUCUCUCCAUUCUCCUCGUCACUAAAAUCAGAAUCAUAGCCGCCUUGGCCACGUGCGGCCGCGGCGAGGCGCAGCUGGCCAGGCACCAUGGCGGCGGCUGCCGGUGGACGCGAGCCGCCUCCUACGUCCGCUCUGCCGGGCUCAGCUCGCGGGCCGCUCCUGCCGGCCCCUCCCGGAAACCCG
rnacentral:lncRNA from 1 species